rnacentral:tRNA from 1 species
GCGGGGGUGGCAGAGUGGUCAAAUGCGCUGGCUUGAGGGGCCAGUCCCUUAGUGGGUGCGCGUGUUCGAGUCACGUCCUCCGCA